rnacentral:lncRNA from 1 species
CCAGGACUUGGGCAGAGCCUGUUUAUCCCCAGUUCCAAGGACCUGAAUGCAAUGCAAGUCACAUUGAGGGAUCUGAGGUCCCAGAUGUGGUAGAAGACCUAACACUAGAGUGCUAAGGGAUGAGGGACAGGGGACUUUGGUGCCACAGCAGAGCACUAACAAGGUUCUGGCAGGUCAGAGGAGUGCUGUCUCAGAAAUCUCAGAUUGUGGUCUACACAGGUGUACAAGGAUGGGGACAGCCUCAGGGGCACAGGUGGUGAGCAGGGAGCACCUGAGGGACAUACGUCAUGUUUUAGAUACUAGUAGCAGAAGAGCUCCUAUUCAGUGGCCUUAGUGAUAAGAAAAGGCAUUAUCUCACAUGACAGGAACUCCCUCAAGAGGAAGGAAGAGCCUCUAUACAGUGGCUCAAUGCUGUCAUCAAAGAGCAAUGUUCUUGCUGUCUUUUGCUGCUAAACUGAGUGAGUUAACUUUGUCAUUAGGAUGGCUUCCUUCCUAGUCACAAAAGGGCUGCCCAGAUCCAGAUAUCCCACUCAGAUACCACAAUGUCCAGUAGAAGAAAAGAUAUUCUCCUUCUAGCUGUCUCUGAGUGAGGUGUCUUUCUCAGAAGUCCCUCUCCCAUCAGGCUCCUCCCCACAUGCCUGUACCUAAAUCAAUCACUGGCAAGGGGAAUGGGAUGACAAUACUGCUUCAUGCAUUUAGGAUCCGUCCAUGGAGCUGGGGUUUUGGGUGGGCCUGUGGCCAGCUGCCCUGAAGCACAGGUCCCGGAUAGGAGCGGAUCCUGGGUCGACAGUGAAUCAUCUCCACUCCGUCAGACCUCCCCCAGUGCCAGAGGGGAGCAGAGGUAGCGUGGAGCUGCUGUAGGACAGAAUGCUGGCAAGCAUUGUGCUCUGGGAGACCAAAUCUAGGAUCUAGUCAUCCAAGGUGAAGCCUGGUAUCCACACGGAGUCAGCAGACAGGUCAAAUUACCAAUAAAAAAGUUCUCAUUGCUGUUCCUGUCCCAACACCUCCCAUGCCCACUUCAGGACCAAAAUCCCUCAUUAGACCUGAAAAGCCCCACAUGAUCUAGUCUCUGCUUCUCAAGCUUCAUCUGGAGCUCCUCCAUCUGCUGCACGUGCAGUUGUCCUUUCUGCCUCAGGGCCCUUGCUCAUGCUGCCUUCCCCCUCCCUCAGUGUUCCCCCAUCAUUCCCUACCUCCUUUCAUUCAUUCUGCAUUAUAUUCCCAUAGCUCUCCACAAAUCUCUUUAGUCGUCUUUAGGGAACUUAUAAAUACUUGUUGUCUAUAUACCCUGCUGGACUCCAGGCUGUUAGUCAGCUUUAUAUCACUGUGGCCAAAAUACCGAACAAAAACAACUCAGGGAGGAAAAGUUUAACUGGGUUCAUGGUUCAUAGGCCUCAGUCCAUGGUCAGCUAGCUCUGUCCCUUUGGUUCUGAGGUGAGGCAGAGCAUCCCGGUGAAGGGUGUGGCAGAGAGAGCUGUACUCAUGAAAGCUGCCAGGAGCAGAGAGAACAAAAGGACCCACAGGGCCUGCAGGAGAAGGCCAUGCCUCCAGGGGUGCCCCAGUGGCCUGCUUCCUGCCGCUUCCUGCCGCUAGGCCCCACCUCCCAGCAGUCCCUCCGGCCAGAACCCUGAUCAUCCAUCCCUUCCCCAAGCCCCACCUCUGGUCAUUGCUGCACUGGGGACACGUGAGACUGGGGGACACUCCAGACCCACAGCAGGCUCCUUGAGGUCAAGAAGAAUGUCUAUCAUCUGGACACUGUGCUGACACCCGAAACAGUGCUUGGCACACAAUCGGCAUUUAAUGAAUAUCCACUGAAUGUGUGAAUGAAUGAAUCCCCACAACGAGGGUCAGCUGGGUCCUAAGCUUUGGGCAGGGACUGUGGCUGGGGGACUGAUGAAGAGUGUGGCCUGUCAGAGGCCCCUGGGGAUUUCUGAGCACAGAAACAGCAUGACUAUUACGGGCUCAAGGGCAGCAAGGGUAGCUGUGUGCCCAGGAGGGGUAAGGAGGCCAGCCAGGACCCUGUGCUCUCCUGCAGGCAUUAGGUUCCAGCCAUGGGAGCCGUGUCCAGGAGAUCAGUAAUGACACCCUGAAGACAGGUGGGCUGGUGUGGUUCAGCACUGGGGCCAGAGAUCUGGAGCAAAAUAAGGGUGCUAAGAGCAUCCGCCUUACGGGGUCACAGGAAGAGUCAAGGGGACGAGGCGUGUAAGAAGCAGUCUUUUGUCUGUAGAUCCGCAGUACAAAGCCUGGGCUUUGCCUUUGCUCCAGUCCCCAUCCCAGGCCAGGUCCGAAUCUGUCCUAUUCCUCUCUUUCCUCCCAGCCUGAGGCACACCAGGACUAUGCUCUCCACAAAACCAAACUUCCCUCAGCCUGUUUCUUUUUCCAGUUAAGUGGGUGCAGCAAUGUCCCCCUCACCUGGCUGAUACGAGGUGACAUUAGAGAACACAUUUUGGGGUGCUUUAGAAACUGUAAAGCACUGUGAACAUGAAGGAAUUACUGUUCCUAUUUUGCUAGAGUUGGGCUCAUUCCUGGGCCUGGCAUCUGCUUUGACUUUCCCAGUUCCUGUUUCUUGCCAGUCUCCGUUUUCUUGUAGCCACCCACGAUUCUGGCACUGACAGCGUAAGGAUGGGGAGUUUGAAUGUAGAAGGAAAAAAGGAGGAACGUGACAACAACCAGCAGCCCCCUGCCUCGUUUCCAGUCUCAAGGAUGAUCCUCCACCUCUCCAAGGCAGCAUCCCCCAAGCCUGGGCAUCCUCCAUGUUCCAGUGACCUAUCGCCGCAUAACAAACCCCUCCCAAACCUAGUGACUUGGAACAACACUGUAUUAUUAACUCCUAGGAGGUCAACUCCGACGGGCAGUUUCCCACCUCAUGGACUCUGGUUGGGUUGCAGUCAGAAGUGGCUGGGACCAUCUGAAGGCUGGACUGGACAGACAUUCCCCAUUCACAUGCCUGCUGCCUGGGUGGAAUGGUUGGCACAUCUGGGCCUGGAUCUCCGUGCAGCUUCUGUCCAGGGCCACCUACAGGGCUUAGUUGAACUUACACAAGACAGCUGACUUCUCCUGAGCAAGCCUGCUAAAGAACCAACAGAGAAUUUCUUUGGCUUCUUCUGACUUAGCCUCAGAAGUCAUGGGUUUCACUUCUAAUGCAUUUUCUUGGUUACAUAGGGUCAGCCCCGAUGCAGUAGGGGAGAGGAUUCCCAAGGGCCUGGAUACUGGAAGGCAUGGCUUGUCGGGGAGCCAUCUUUGGAGACUGUCCAGCCAGAUCUUGGUCUGGUGAUUGGAACACUGCCCUGUGGAGUGCUCUUGCCAUGUUUGGGUAUGUGGAAUGUGUCUCCCAAAGAUUCAUGUGUUGGAGGCUUUGUCCCCGGGAGGCAGUCCUGGGAGAUGGGGUGGAACCUUUGAGAGGUAAGGCCUAAUGAGAGCUCUUAAGGUUAAUUGGGGGCGUGUUUGCAGACAGGGGUGGUUAUCAAAAGAGGGUUGUUAUGGAGCCUGAGCCUGGCUCCACCCAGCCUCUCUUGCUUCCUGUUUUGAGUUGUGGAUUUUUCUCUUGCUCACAUUCCUGCAGUUGAGAUACAAUAUUCCAUGAAGCCCUCACCAGAGCCAAGUUGAUACUGGUGUGAUGCCUUCGAACUUCCAGGAUUGUGAGUUAAAUAGACCCCUUUUCUUUAUAAAGUUAGUCUGCCUCAGAUAUUUUGUUAUAGCAACAAAAAAAGGACUAAUAUGCCUCUCAAAGUUCAGGACUUGGGAAGGAGACAAAGGAGACAGCAUAAAGGGCACUGAGCAGCUAGGACUCCUGGGCCCCAACUUUAAACAACAUUCACUUAAUAUUUUGGAGUUUUACAAAUAACUUAAUGUGAAAUUAAAAGUUCUGAAGUUCACUUUGCUAGAGUGAUUUAGAGAGUAAAUAAACUUAAAGAAAUAUUCUUAACAUUAAUCAUUUGGGGAAUGCAAAAUAAAGUUUCAAUGAGAUAUUACUACACACAUCCUAAUAAGAAUGAUUAAAGUGAUAAUUUUUAAAACUAUCAAGCACUGGUGAGAAUGGGAACAACUAGAAUUCACACACAUUAAUGGUAGAAAUGCAAUACUGAACAGCCACCUUGGAAAACAGUUUCUUAUGAAGUUAUACAUACACUGCACAUAGGAUUCAACCAUUCCAACUCUCAGGUAUUGACUCCGGAGAAAUGCAAUGAUAUGUACACACAGAGACCUGUAAAUGUCCCUAGCAGCUUUCCUAAUAGUCCCAAACCAGAGAAACCAGUCAACCAAAGAAAGAAAUCCAAAUGCCCAUUGGAUAAAGUAAUUCUGGUGCAUCCAGACAGUGAUAGACUUCUUAGCAAUAAGAUCCGAACAGGUAGCGUUUGCAUGGAUGAAUCUCAAAAGCAUUAUUCUGAGUAAAAGAAACCAGUCAACAAAGCUCUAGGCUUUAUGACGAUCCAUUAUGAUGAUCUCUUCAAGAGGCAAAACUGGUCAUGGAAAGCAGAUCCAUGGUUGCAACUGUACCCCUGUCCUACAGCCAGCCUCGGGCCUUGGCUGGCUCUGCUCCCUCUUUGUGGACUCUUUCCUGCUCAUCAUUUGGAUAACUCUCUUUAUCCUUCAGUCUUCAGCCCUCACUUUUCCAAAGAGGCCUCUGCCCCUCCGAUCUAAAUUAGGUAGCUCUUUUCACUUGCAGGUGACACACUUGCUUUUUCUUCUCUAAUAGAGAGCAAGAUCUCCACACAUCUUUGGCACACAAUUAGCACUUAGCUUGUUUCAUGAAUUAAUAAAUGUGGGAAAGAUGUACAGUCUUCCUUUGUAUAGUUAUGUAUUGCAUGAAUUUGUUUAUUCACAAACAUGCGCUACUUUUUUUCAUUUUCAUGUAUUAUUAAACUACUUGUUGGAGAAUUGAAAUAAUUUUAAAAAUAUGUAAAGUCAAAAGUGAACAUUUUUCAUACCCACAGAUUUUUGAAAAGUAAGGUUCUACCUUUGCCUAUUAGUGUCCAGAAAUCUCACUUAUUCUUUAUAAUAGAUAUUUACAUAUCCCACAGUAUGUUUAUACCAUUUUAAACAUUAAUUAGUCACUGCUGAGAAUUUUGGGAUACCCCACCACUAAAGUUUCAAUGUUUUCUUAUUUAGAAUGCUGCAGUAUAUAUUAGCACAUAUUGUGCAAGUAUUAUAAAAGGAGAGAUUCCUAGAAAAUUGAACUGUUAGAAAAUAGGGAAUUUGUAUUUUAGAUGUAGAGUGUAUCUAUCUACACUAUUCCAAAAAUAGGUGUGCAAACACCUAUUGCCACUUCUGUUUAGGAGACAGCCCAUCUCAUAUGUCCAUACCCUAACCAACUUGGGAUAGCACCAAUCCUUGCCAAGUUUCCUCAUUCAGGUUAAAAUACAAUCUCAUCAUUUUAACUUCCAUCCCCAGCAUUUUUACUGAGGUUGUGUGUAUUAUCAUAAGAUUUUUAGUUAUUUGUAUGUCUUGAACUGUGAAUUCCUGCUUAUAUCCUUUGCCCAUUUUUAUGUUUUUUGCCUUAUUGAUUUGUAGGAACUCCUUAUGUAUGUAUGAUAUGGAAAUAGUUUGCAGGUUAUAAAUAACUUUUAGGGGGUGAUGGAUAUGUUCAUUCUUGAUUGUGGUGAUGGGUGCACAGGUGUAUACUUAUGUCAAAACUCAUCAAAUUUUACACUUUAAAUGUGUGCAGUAUAUUGUAUGUCAAUCAUACCUUAAUAAAGCUGUUUAAAAAAGAAAGU